GAGUGCUGGAGCGAGAUCCCAAGCUGUGACCCUCCAAAGGGAAGCACUUUCUGUUUGUUGUCUGAGAGAAAACAAAGUGCUUCCUUUUAGAGUGUGACCGCUUGGGAAAAGCAGCGUUCAGGAUG
rnacentral:precursor_RNA from 8 species